UACCAGCACCCCGAGUGGUCGGGACGAUUAUUGGGCCUAAAGCAUCCGUAGCCGGUCAUGCAAGUCUUCCGUUAAAUCCAGCCGCUCAACGGUUGGGCUGCGGAGGAUACUACGUGGCUAGGAGGCGGGAGAGGCAAGCGGUACUCAGUGGGUAGGGGUAAAAUCCUUUGAUCCAUUGAAGACCACCAGUGGCGAAGGCGGCUUGCCAGAACGCGCUCGACGGUGAGGGAUGAAAGCUGGGGGGAGCAAACAGG
rnacentral:rRNA from 1 species